UUUGUUACUUCAAACCAAUCGGACUUCGGUCUGACAUCAAGUGAUAUUGAACAAUUUGGCUGAUCGCACGGUCUAAGAACCGGCGACAUAUCCUUCAAAUGACUGCCUUAUCAACUUUCGAUGGUAGAUUAUGCGCCUACCAUGGUUGUAACGGGUAACGGAGAAUCAGGGUUUGAUUCCGGAGAGGGAGCCUGAGAAACGGCUACCACAUCCAAGGAAGGCAGCAGGCACGCAAAUUACCCACUCCCGGCACGGGGAGGUAGUGACGAAAAAUAACAAGCUGGUCUCAAUGAGUUCCAGCAUUGUAAUGGGAACAAUUUAAAUCUUUUAUCGAGGAUCUAUUGGAGGGCAAGUCUGGUGCCAGCAGCCGCGGUAAUUCCAGCUCCAAUAGCGUAUAUUAAAGCUGUUGCGGUUAAAAAGCUCGUAGUUGGAUCUAGGAUUAGGGCUACGGUCGUUCAGCUUGGACGUACUGUAUGCCCGACUCCUUUUCUCCAGUAUUCGAUUGUUGCUCUUAAAUGAGUGACUUUAGUUGCUGGAACUUUUACCUUGAAAAAAUUGAAGUGCUCAAAGCAGGUU
rnacentral:rRNA from 1 species